GGAAUUUUGGACAAUGGGGGCAACCCUGAUCCAGCAAUGCCGCGUGUGUGAAGAAGGCCUUCGGGUUGUAAAGCACUUUUGUCCGGAAAGAAAUCGCACUUACUAAUAUUAGGUGUGGAUGACGGUACCGGAAGAAUAAGGACCGGCUAACUACGUGCCAGCAGCCGCGGUAAUACGUAGGGUCCAAGCGUUAAUCGGAAUUACUGGGCGUAAAGCGUGCGCAGGCGGUUGUGCAAGACCGAUGUGAAAUCCCCGGGCUUAACCUGGGAAUUGCAUUGGUGACUGCACGGCUAGAGUGUGUCAGAGGGGGGUAGAAUUCCACGUGUAGCAGUGAAAUGCGUAGAGAUGUGGAGGAAUACCGAUGGCGAAGGCAGCCCCCUGGGAUAACACUGACGCUCAUGCACGAAAGCGUGGGGAGCAAACAGGA
rnacentral:misc_RNA from 1 species